rnacentral:misc_RNA from 1 species
CAAAUAACAACUCCCUGGUGCAACGUAUAAAUUAAAUAAUAAAUUGCAUUUAUUAAACAAUUAUUCAGUUCAAGACAUAAUUUUUAUUACAGUAUAAUUCAUCUCUUUUUAUCAAUAUCAAACUAUUAUUGUUUAACUGUCAGUUUACCUUUAUUGUAUGCAUGCAGGUUUAGUUUCAAGGAAGAUAGUUCAACAAUAUUUACGUACAAUCCUCGUUACAACUUCACCAUCGAUAGUGUCUGUAAAGAUGCUGCAGCAUGUCAGUCAGUGACCAACAUUGAUAAGACUGUCUCCAACUACCUGCUUGCUACACAAGAGGUUGAUUCAUGGAGUGAAUGUACAACCAUCAGGUCUAAUGAAACAGCAACUUGUAUUAAUUUUAAGGAAGUUACAAAAACAACAGCCAGGAAAGCAAUUAUAGCACUUGUUUGUGAUUUGAAAGGAGAUGAGAGUGAAUUUAAAUUUGAAACAGAAGAACCAAUGCUUAAUUAUUUCCAACUGUGCAUGUCAGUGUCAAAGCAUAUGAGUUUAAAGUCUAAGUACGCAUGCCCGAUUACUAGUGGAUUCAGAGAGACCAAAGUGUAAACAAAGUCCUACAUAAUACAGAUAUUCAUAUAAAUUUAUUUUACACGCAUUAAAACCUAAGAUGAUAAUAUAAAAUAUGUAUUGUAGAUUGUGGCCAUAUUAGAUAGUAAUUGUUUUAAAGAAAGUGAAAUUUUUAUUUGGAUAUGUAACAGGGGUGUUUGUGAAUAUUUAUUUGUAUGUACAGAAGUAUUAUUUAUUUAUUAAUUUGUAGUGAUUUUACAUGCAUACAAGUGCUAUUAUGUAUUCAUUGUUGUGUUACGUACAUCCAUCUGUAUUUGUCGUAAAUCUCUUGUAUAUUCCGAAAUAGCAUCGUCAACAUGAAUUCUAUUUCUGAGAGCUGUUGAAUUCG